CUCUGGCUCUCUAAAAAUAUUGAGAGAAAUCUCUCAAAUCCUUUCUCCCCUCUCACCAAAGUAUGACCUAUCCUCACUGGAGCACCCAGCCGUCGCUUACAGUGUUCGAAGUUCAUAACUCCUACCUUAAAAUGCUUUCCUUUCUCUGCUAAAUCCAAAAAACAAAACUAUCAAUCCACUAAAAAUAACUCCCUCGCCUUAGAUCUAAGGAUUUCGAACGAUUAUCUUCGUUUCUUUAUGGACGAAACUCCUUCUUCGGCGAUGCUUAGGCUUUACGAUGAACUUCUUGUAAGGGUCGGCUAAAAUGACGGUGGUGGCACUGGGAGCAGAUGACAGAAACCACGUCGGUGGUGAUAGGAAUAGACAUUAGCGGCGGCGCGGCAAGCUUAGGGUUUCAGAAAACCUAGUCACCUUUCAUCUGGGUCGUUGGGUCAAGCACAAAUCCAACGACUGGAAAAAUGCGGUGGCUGUGGAGAUAUGAUGAAACCCUAGCUAUGUUGGGUUGUUAAGUUGGGCCUUUUGUAGACUUGAGUUAUAUUUGGUCCUGUAAUUAGUCUUUGGGCCAUGCGGUGUAACCUAUUAACACAUAAAAUAAAACAUAUAAAAAAUCAGUAUA